UGAAUUGUUUGUUUACAUUUCUUGUAUAGCAGCGACCUCUAGUGGCUUUAGUAAUUAGGGCAAAGGAGGAAGUCAGGUGACUACAGAAGAGGGACAACGUCCACAUAGGGAGGAGGACGGAGCGGGGAGUUUGAUCAAUGCUGGACUUUCACCCAGGAGAACGCUCUCCGAGCCUUGUGCGAAACAAAAAAAGCUGACGCCUCCUGUUGAUGCUCUGAACUGCGGCGCUCUCCCUCAGCCGGCUGACUGUGGAGGCUAACACCGUGGACCCCAACGCCGGCAGCAGGUCCAUGACGGAGACGGCGACCAGACAGCCGACUGGACCCGGACUUCUUUUCUUUCUGUCCUCAAUGCUGUUAGAAGAUCGGAUGAACACUUCAGGAAGUCUUGGCUUACGCCGCCUCAGACUUUUACAGUCCUUCUUUUAAUCUGUCUCUUGCAAGUCACCAAAGUAGAAGGGCCUUUUCACGUCAAGGGUCCAAGGUUCA